rnacentral:lncRNA from 1 species
ACUUAAAGUCAUCUACAGAAAACAGGUCUCUGCCAAGGUUCUCAACCAUCCAUUGCCUUGCUAGCUUCUGGCUAUGGUAUUCUCCUAAGGAUAUAACUUCUUUUCUUCAUAGCCCCUUUUAACAGUUCUUAACAGCUUGUGUCUUUGUGUGUAUUGUAGACAAUAGUCUACAAUUACAGUAUCACAUAGUAUCUUUCCAACUGAAUUUCCAUUUCAUUCCCAUUCAACACAUUGAAAGCAGCUAAUCUUAUAGAUAGUGUUUGCUUAUUUUUGCUAAGUCAUUCACCCUUUUUCUUUUAUUCUGUGGUAAAUAAGUCAUGAUUAAAUAUAAGAUUUAAAAUCUUGUUUCUAAAAACAUUUCUCAUGUUUUAGCAGCUGCCAUAUCAAUAUGCUUGGUAGAUUUGCAUUGAGUAUGUAUUGUUUCUCUUUACAAAUGGAAAGCAGGAACAGAACAAGUGUCAAAGAGAAAUAGAAGAAUGGUGGCAAAAAGAACAAUAAGGUAUGAGAUGAAAUGUUUUGAAUGCUCAUUAAGCUGCUUUCUCUUUAGAAAAUGUUUCAAAGGUGGUGAAAGAUGUUGCUCACUACCAACGGUGAUGAGAGAAUCUACCAUUUUGAUAGAAAAACCUUGGGCAAGUUGAGAAAUACACUGACUAAAGUGUUUUUCUCCUGUUGAGAAAAUAAGACUAAAGAAUUGAGUGGGUGCCUUCUGGAACCUGGACUUUUCAGAUUUCAUCUGCCAC